UCAGAUGAGACAAGACUCGAUCGGCUAGCUGCACUCGCUGACCGCAUCUGCAACUGCUCGUCUGCGGCACAGCUACCUAUCACCGCUGCGAGAGUAUCAGAGCCAGGAGACCGACUCUCGCGCCUGGAGGAAAUAAUCGACCGCCUUACCAGUGCACUGGAGAACAUGGGGACUCGCGGCA
rnacentral:lncRNA from 1 species